GUGUUGCUGGCAAAGCUUCCCAGUCACUUUGGUUAAUCCAUUCCAAGUGCCAGUAGUUAUCCUGAGCUCCGUGCUGACUGCUAUGACAUGAGACUUCAGUCUGUGCACCUCUGAUGUCAUCAGGAGCCACUGAUGUCAGAGCGGCUUCUGCGGAGCAUGAAGGUCCAUGUCAAUUUGUCACAUUACCUCUGCAUGGAAGGGGAUCCAUCUGCAGUGGAACCGAAAUGCUUCUGUACUUCCCUACCCCACUCAUCAGCUCGACUUAUGUUGGCUAAAAAGGUGAGAGGAAAUCGAAGACAUAACAGAGUUCCUACAUGCCUGUUUCCAGUGGAAGUAUGACUGUAGCCACAUUUACUUCUACCCAAACAUCAGGAUGUGCAGUCUGCAGGAAGAUGCUAGGCUGGAUGUGAGUCUUUUAUUUCCUUUCACGUAAGUGUUUAGAUCAAGUCCUAGUUCAGCUUUAGAAAGUGCUAAAUGUAGUAACUGUUUUCUUUAUAUACUCUCUAUGGUAUUUCUGUUUAGUUUAAGCCAUAAAUUUGAAAAAAGAAAGCAUUAAAAAAAGUAAUAGAGGAGUGAUAGCUUCUUUAUCCCCAGUUCCAAGCUCUGAGCAAGGUAGCAUUGGCUAUAGUUUUUAUUUGGAGGAAAGAGAAGCAACCUUUCUCAUAAACCUUUCAUUUGUUGAACACAGAGGUGACCAAGCUUCCACAGCAGAGUGCAUAAUGAGGGUAAGAUAAGCUCAUGAAAGGCUGGGGUGAGCCCUAAAGAGACAGGAUUUUAUGGCAUGGGUUGAGAGCAUGGGAUAUGAGGUGCUGCUAAGUGGCACACUGCUUAAUUAGGCACAUCUCUUUCUGCAUGGAGGUUUACUAGGUGACAUAUUCAUAUCCUGCCUUUUCUUAUUCCCUUUGAAGCAAGCAGCCCAGUAUUGCUUCACGUGGUUGAGAUGUUGUUUUUCUUCCUGAAGAGAAAGAUGGAAUAAAAUUCUGAAUUCUCAUACUUGAGCUGUGAGC
rnacentral:lncRNA from 1 species